AGAUCAAAUUGUCGGUCGUGCCUCGGUACGUACUGUCAUUAUUGAUUUCUCCCUUCUGAAGAACCGCGAUGUCAUUAAUUUGGUGUCGUGGGGAAUCAGGACUGUUACUUUGAAAAAAUUAGAGUGUUUAAAGCAGGCUCGCGCUUGAAUACAUUAGCAUGGAAUAAUAAAAUAGGACUU
rnacentral:rRNA from 1 species